AGUGAACGCUGGCGGUAGGCCUAACACAUGCAAGUCGAACGGCAGCACAGUAAGAGCUUGCUCUUACGGGUGGCGAGUGGCGGACGGGUGAGGAAUACAUCGGAAUCUACUUUUUCGUGGGGGAUAACGUAGGGAAACUUACGCUAAUACCGCAUACGACCUACGGGUGAAAGCAGGGGAUCUUCGGACCUUGCGCGAUUGAAUGAGCCGAUGUCGGAUUAGCUAGUUGGCGGGGUAAAGGCCCACCAAGGCGACGAUCCGUAGCUGGUCUGAGAGGAUGAUCAGCCACACUGGAACUGAGACACGGUCCAGACUCCGACGGGAGGCAGCAGUGGGGAAUAUUGGACAGUGGGCGCAAGCCUGAUCCAGCCAUACCGCGUGGGUGAAGAAGGCCUUCGGGUUGUAAAGCCCUUUUGUUGGGAAAGAAAAGCAGCAGGUUAAUACCCCGCUGUUCUGACGGUACCCAAAGAAUAAGCACCGGCUAACUUCGU
rnacentral:rRNA from 1 species